rnacentral:rRNA from 1 species
GAUUUUGAUCCUGGCUCAGGAUGAACGCUGGCGGCGUGCUUAACACAUGCAAGUCGAACGAUGAUCCGGUGCUUGCACCGGGGAUUAGUGGCGAACGGGUGAGUAACACGUGAGUAACCUGCCCUUAACUCUGGGAUAAGCCUGGGAAACUGGGUCUAAUACCGGAUAUGACUCCUCAUCGCAUGGUGGGGGGUGGAAAGCUUUAUUGUGGUUUUGGAUGGACUCGCGGCCUAUCAGCUUGUUGGUGAGGUAAUGGCUCACCAAGGCGACGACGGGUAGCCGGCCUGAGAGGGUGACCGGCCACACUGGGACUGAGACACGGCCCAGACUCCUACGGGAGGCAGCAGUGGGGAAUAUUGCACAAUGGGCGCAAGCCUGAUGCAGCGACGCCGCGUGAGGGAUGACGGCCUUCGGGUUGUAAACCUCUUUCAGUAGGGAAGAAGCGAAAGUGACGGUACCUGCAGAAGAAGCGCCGGCUAACUACGUGCCAGCAGCCGCGGUAAUACGUAGGGCGCAAGCGUUAUCCGGAAUUAUUGGGCGUAAAGAGCUCGUAGGCGGUUUGUCGCGUCUGCCGUGAAAGUCCGGGGCUCAACUCCGGAUCUGCGGUGGGUACGGGCAGACUAGAGUGAUGUAGGGGAGACUGGAAUCCCUGGUGUAGCGGUGAAAUGCGCAGAUAUCAGGAGGAACACCGAUGGCGAAGGCAGGUCUCUGGGCAUUAACUGACGCUGAGGAGCGAAAGCAUGGGGAGCGAACAGGAUUAGAUACCCUGGUGGUC